GCGCGGUAGGACGUCAACGACAGCGCAACAAUUAUAUUAGAUAUCAAGACAAGUUUUCAAGGGACCGGACACAUUUUCGAAUGGACUGACUGUUGGCAGCGGAAAUUCUUGAGCCGUACGAUACUAUGAAUCGUCUUCAGAUACUAAAAUGAACCCUCCGCUAUCAGAAAGCUGACAGGAAAAUGGAGAGAGAGAGAGAAGGAGAGGAUGAAGACAAGUGAUGCGAAGGAAUGGAAGAAGCCCCUGAGCAGAACCAGAGGGAGGGAGGGAUGACUGCUGUGACAUGAAAGAGUGAUAGAGGUAUCAGCAUUGACUCCCUGUCUAAAUAAAAUGACCUUGGUCUCAGCAUUGACUCCCUGUCUAAAUGAAGAGACCUUGGUCUCAGCAUUGACUUCCUGUCUAAAU
rnacentral:lncRNA from 1 species